rnacentral:rRNA from 1 species
GUGCCAGCCGCCGCGGUAGUACGUAGGGUGCAAGCGUUAAUCGGAAUUACUGGGCGUAAAGCGUGCGCAGGCGGUUUUGUAAGUCUGACGUGAAAUCCCCGGGCUCAACCUGGGAAUUGCGUUGGAGACUGCAAGGCUAGAAUCUGGCAGAGGGGGGUAGAAUUCCACGUGUAGCAGUGAAAUGCGUAGAGAUGUGGAGGAACACCGAUGGCGAAGGCAGCCCCCUGGGUCAAGAUUGACGCUCAUGCACGAAAGCGUGGGGAGCAAACAGGAUUAGAUACCCUUGUAGUCC